rnacentral:rRNA from 1 species
AGAACGAACGCUGGCGGCAGGCCUCAAACAUGCAAGUCUAGGGGGCGUAGCAAUACGUCACCGGCGGACGGGUGCGUAACACGUGGGAAUGUACUUACUGGUUCGGAACAACUCAGGGAAACUUGAGCUAAUACCGAAUGUGCCCGAAAGGGGAAAGAUUUAUCGCCAGUAAAUCAGCCCGCGUCCGAUUAGCUAGUUGGUGGGGUAAAGGCCCACCAAGGCGACGAUCGGUAGCUGUUCUGAGAGGAAGAUCAGCCACACUGGGACUGAGACACGGCCCCAGACUCCUACGGGAGGCAGCAGUUGGGAAUCUUGGACAUGGGGAAACCCUGAUCCAGCCAUGCCGCGUGAGUGAUGAAGGCCUUCGGGUUGUAAAUUCUUUCAGCGGGGACGAUAAUGACGGUACCCGCAGAAGAGCCCCGGCUAACUUCGCGCCAGCAGCCGC